UCUCCGGUUGCUGCCGGCCGUCUCCGGCGCCGCCGCACGCUGGCGUAUCUCUGCUCUGGCCUCCUCUUCUGGUUUCCCGCAGCCACGAUUCGCUAUUGCCCCCUUCCGCACAAACCCACGAAACCCUAGCCCACCGUUCGGCUGCCGGCGCGGCGCCUGUUCACCCGCGCCUCCGGCUGCACCUCCUCGCCGAUCUCCACUUUGACUCCCCGGAUCAACCGCGCUGCCUCGAUCGCAUCUUGGACCCCUCGCCUUGGUCCUUCUCAGCACCAUCAACCGCGAGCUACUCAUGCGGUCGGCGUCGGUCGCUCUGCACCGCCACUCCGACGUGCUCGUCGACGUGCUGCCUCCCGUGGUGGAAUCCAGCAUCUCGCUGGUCGCUUCGUCGGUGUAACUCUUAACGAUUUGUACUCGAGCAUCUAGACCUGGGAUGUUUAUUGUGGUGCUAUGUUGCUGAUGUUUUCAUGUCUUCUACCUUGACGCUAGGGGGAUGGUUUUGUGGACGCAACCCAGUGUCAACUACAGCACUGUAAGCUAAACCUUCCUCCCUUCUCUGUCUGCGGUGACGGAGUCGUGUGUUACAAAGAGGAAAUUAUGUACUGGCAGUUUGACUUGAUUAUUUGAGUUAACAGCUCUGUGUAGAGUUGUCACCGGAUAGAAAAUUUUCACAAGAGGCUUUUGCACCGUACUCAAAUGUCAGCCACUAAGCCAUGAUUGGAAUCCUACUCUAUCUUACUUUUAUUAACCAAUGUCCAGAUGUAGAAAGGUGGGUACUAAUGUACUGUACAUUUAUCAUGUCAUAUUUCCUUCUCUACAUUUUCAUUGAGUUAAUACUUUACCUCUAGAGUUUAGAAGCUAUGAUGAUUUGGACUUUGUAAUCAGUACAUGUCAUGUACCUUCUACAUAAUGGGUUAAUUACUACUGGGAGGAUGGCCAGGAUGUCAUGGCUGUAGGGCAUUGAGAUGCUGAAUUGGGAAGGGACUAGAUGAGCAGAUGGACUAAAUAUUCUCCGUCUGCUAGUUGUGUCAAGAGAUAAUUGUUUCCUUCGCUGUAGCUAUAUUGUGUAUUUGAUCACUGUCUGUAUUGUGUAUUUGAUCAUUGUAUGCUAAUCACAUAGCAUGUCCACUGUGUGCAUACUAAUUUUAUUGGCCUAUAGGCUAUAGGUUUCGAGUUUUAUAACUUACCAAGAGAGUGCAUUACUACAUACAUUUUGUUAGCCGACUGUUCACUUUUUUGUGCACCAGUUUUUACUGUAUAUGAUCUGGAUGGACAUUUGGAUGCUCUUAAUUUCUGAAGAAUCAUGCACAUCAGUCUAUGCACAUUUCAGGACUAUGUGUCCUAAAUCCCAGUCUAUGCUAUUAAUGAGAGUAGUUACUAACUUUUUGGCUUUCAUCCUUUUGUAUUUUAGGGUGUCGGAUGCUUUCCAUUUUUGUACUUUUUUUUCUAUCUUCUAUGAUGAUUUCUUCCAAAAUCGAUCACCAUUUGACCCUCAAGUAUAAGUACUCUGAAGCGUUUACUCCAUUUCAGGCCUUGGAUAACUGUAGCUGGAAGAUGAGAUUAUGGAAAACGAAUUUAAACUUGAUCUCCAGGUGCAUAAUCUUGUUUCUGAGAUGUCCUCUCCCCAGGGGUUCUUUAAUGCUGCAGCCGUCCCAAAUUCAAAGGUCAAAAUAACCUAGAACUCAUCCUUUCUGGUGAAGUGCUUGAUUCUAGUUCUGCUCUGCCAAUUGGCAAAGCUAAGGUGAAUCAUUAAUGUUGCCGCUGCUGGUCCGACAGUCGCUUCGCUGGUGGUGCUGCUGCAUCAGUCGUAGCUGCCACUGAGGCUCUCUGCUACUUCUCCUACAGAGUAAGAACCUCCACCCCCGCUGCUAAUACUCAUGAGUCCCAAUAUUUUGCUCCAAACUCAUUUUUUGCACUGUGUCUGAAAUUCUUGAAUUAACUAGUUUCAGUUCCUUUAUGGUAAAUUUUAUCGUGAGUCCCAAUUUUAUCAUCGUAAAUAUAUUGGACAUGUUACAGUUACACAAUCAAACAUGAUUUGAAUUUAUUGUGUUCUCAGCUACUCAACUUAGCUCUAAUUCUGAACAUACAUUAUGUAGGCUCUUUCACUUCUUGCACGCUCCAUUGAGGCAGAUUCAAGCACAGUUAUCUCGUGGGUGUUUUAUCUUCAUAUUUACUAUCAAAAGGAUGAAGGACUUGGAACAUUUUCAGUGAACUGCAGGAGGGUGGGCGGAGGGCGCGCUCAUCGGUGCUCUGGCAUCCUGCUCGACGAGGAAGAGGGCUUGGUGUCGGGGACGGGAACCUGGUUGCGGUGUCGGAUGCAGGGCGCAGCUGGCGCAGCUUCCUCUAGCCCAAACUCCAUGACAACUUUCUUCGUCGGUGGCAGAUGAACCCUGUUGUUCAUGAUGUGGAGAUGAACCCUGUUGUGUAUUUUAUCUAAUGGUUUCAAACCAUGUUGUUCAUGAUGUGGAGAUGAACCCUGUUGGUCGUGUAAGUUAGAUGCCUGGAUUGUGAAUCCUUGAAUGUUUCAAAAUGUUGGUUUCAAACCUAAAUUGCUUGGAAAUAUAGGUUUUAAACAUUGCUUGA